GCCUUUCUCCGGUUGUGGUCAGUUCAUGCAUUUGAAAGGGGUUUCCCCACCCAUGUACUCCCUGCCCUCUCCGAUGUUCUCACUCUUACUUUCCUUCCUAGGACUACCUGUUUGCAAAAUCUUUGCACCGACCGUUCUCCGGCAGUGUUUCUCAAAUCCUCCUCCUCCCAUAGGGCCCGUAGUACUGUUGGAAUCUCGCGGGGGGCAGGACGCCGUGGUUA
rnacentral:lncRNA from 1 species